rnacentral:rRNA from 1 species
UGGGGGAUAUUGCACAAUGGGCGAAAGCCUGAUGCAGCGACGCCGCGUGGGGGAUGAAGGCUUUCGGGUUGUAAACCUCUUUCGCUAUCGAACAAGGCCCGCUUAGGGUGGGUUGAGGGUAGGUGGAGAAGAAGCGCCGGCUAACUACGUGCCAGCAGCCGCGGUAAUACGUAGGGCGCGAGCGUUGUCCGGAAUUAUUGGGCGUAAAGGGCGUGUAGGCGGCUUGUUGCGCCUGCUGUGAAAACGCGGGGCUUAACUUCGCGCGUGCAGUGGGUACGGGCAGGCUUGAGUGUGGUAGGGGUGACUGGAAUUCCAGGUGUAGCGGUGGCAUGCGCAGAUAUCUGGAGGAACACCGAUGGCGAAGGCAGGUCACUGGGCCUUUACUGACGCUGAGGAGCGAAAGCAUGGGUAGCGAACAGG